AAGUCAUUUCAAAAGGGCUUGUGGGACUGAAACCAGGAGCUCUUAAUGCUAUGACCAAAGCUCGAAGUCCUCCAUAGGAUGACACAGACACAAUUGUGCAGUGCUUUGCUUUUUUCUUGAGGGAGAUACAAAA
rnacentral:snoRNA from 1 species